rnacentral:rRNA from 1 species
AACGAACGCUGGCGGCAGGCUUAACACAUGCAAGUCGAACGCAUCCUUCGGGGUGAGUGGCAGACGGGUGAGUAACGCGUGGGAACGUGCCCUUCAGUUCGGGAUAACCCAGGGAAACUUGGGCUAAUACCGGAUACGUGCGAGAGCAGAAAGAUUUAUCGCUGAAGGAUCGGCCCGCGUCUGAUUAGCUAGUUGGUGGGGUAAUGGCCCACCAAGGCGACGAUUAGUAGCUGGUCUGAGAGGAUGAUCAGCCACAUUGGGACUGAGAAACGGCCCAAACUCCUACGGGAGGCAGCAGUGGGGAAUAUUGGACAAUGGGCGCAAGCCUGAUCCAGCCAUGCCGCGUGAGUGAUGAAGGCCUUAGGGUUGUAAAGCUCUUUCGUCCGGGACGAUAAUGACGGUACCGGAAGAAUAAGGACCGGCUAACUACGUGCCAGCCGCCGCCGUAA